rnacentral:rRNA from 1 species
AACUAUAACGGUCCUAAGGUAGCGAAAUUCCUUGUCGGGUAAGUUCCGACCUGCACGAAUGGCGUAACGAUGGCCACACUGUCUCCUCUAGAGACUCAGCGAAGUUGAAAUGGUUGUGAAGAUGCAAUCUACCCGCGGUUAGACGGAAAGACCCCAUGAACCUUUACUAUAGCUUUACAUUGGACUUUGAUAACAUCUGUGUAGGAUAGGUGGGAGACUUUGAAGCAGGAUCGCUAGAUCUUGUGGAGUCACCCUUGAAAUACCACCCUGAUGUUGUUGAGGUUCUAACCCAGGUCCCUUAUCGGGAUCGGGGACCGUGUAUGGUGGGUAGUUUGACUGGGGCGGUCUCCUCCCAAAGAGUAACGGAGGAGUGCGAAGGUAACCUAGGCACGGUCGGAAAUCGUGCUGUUAGUGCAAUGGCAUAAGGUUGCUUGACUGCGAGACGGACAGGUCGAGCAGGUACGAAAGUAGGUCAUAGUGAUCCGGUGGUUCUGUAUGGAAGGGCCAUCGCUCAACGGAUAAAAGGUACUCUGGGGAUAACAGGCUGAUUCCUCCCAAGAGUUCAUAUCGACGGGGGAGUUUGGCACCUCGAUGUCGGCUCAUCACAUCCUGGGGCUGUAGUCGGUCCCAAGGGUAUGGCUGUUCGCCAUUUAAAGUGGUACGUGAGCUGGGUUUAAAACGUCGUGAGACAGUUUGGUCCCUAUCUGCCGUGGGCGUUGGAAGUUUGAAGGGGGCUGUUCCUAGUACGAGAGGACCGGAAUGGACAGAUCUCUGGUGGAUCGGUUGUCACGCCAGUGGCAUAGCCGAGUAGCUAAAUCUGGAAGAGAUAAACGCUGAAAGCAUCUAAGCGUGAAACUUGCCCUAAGAUGAGACUUCCCUUGCACUUUAAGUGCACUAAAGAGUCGUUCAAGACCAGGACGUUGAUAGGUCAGGUGUGGAAGUGCAGUAAUGCAUGAAGCUAACUGAUACUAAUUGCUCGUGAGGCUUGAUCCU